UUCGGAUUGCAGGCUGCAACCCGCCUGCAUGAAGUUGGAAUCACUAGUAAUCGCGGAUCAGCAUGCCGCGGUGAAUGCGUUCUCGGGCCUUGUACACACCGCCCGUCACACCAUGAGAGUCGGGAACACCCGAAGUCCGUAGCCUAACCGCAAGGGGGCGCGGCCGAAGGUGGGCUCGAUAAUUGGGGUGAAGUCGUAACAAGGUACC
rnacentral:rRNA from 1 species